rnacentral:rRNA from 1 species
AUGGUGAGGAAUUUUUAUUGGGGGUCAGCAGAAGGUAAGCGUAAAGUGCAUUGGAAAUGUUGGAAUCAUCUUCUCCAACCCAAAGACAGAGGGGGUGUUGGUUUUCGGGAUUUCCGGAUGUUCAAUCAAGCUUUGUUGGCUCGUCAAGCAUGGCGACUACUAAGUAAACCGGAGAGCCUAUGCGCCCAGGUGCUUAAAGCAAAGUAUUAUCCAUAUGGCAAGCUGGAGGAUACGGUCUUCACAGGAAAUGCAUCCUCGUCAUGGCAAGCUAUCAGCCAUGGUCUUGAUCUGUUGAAGAAAGGGCUGAUAUGGAGGGUGGGAAACGGUAAGAGUAUCCGGGUUUGGAGGGACAAAUGGAUACCAAUGCCUUUUUCGUACAAACCAAUAUCGCUACAGGGCCAAUGCCGUAUUCGUUUUGUUUCAGACCUUCUUAAUUCUAAUGGGUCUUGGAAUGUAGAGGUACCGCGACAGUAUUUUUUGAGUGCAGAUGUCAUGGAGAUCAUGAAAAUACAGGCAUCUCCUAGAUUGGAGGAGGAUGCGAUUUCUUGGGGAUUGGGUAAACUUGGAAUUUUUACAGUCAAGUUAGCAUAUCAGUUUGCCAUUCAGGAAGCUCAUGGUGCAAACUUAGCUUCUACCAGUACCUCGAGCUCAGGUGGGAGAAGUGCUGGAAACUCAUUUCGAAGUGUGAAGUGCCACCAACGAUCCGCAAUUUUGCUUCGCGACUGGCGACGGAUGCCCUUCCAACCUGGAAGAACAAGAACAAAAUUGGUCUGGAACUGGUAA